UACCAGCACCCCGAGUGGUCGGGACGAUUAUUGGGCCUAAAGCAUCCGUAGCCGGUUCUGCAAGUCCUCCGUUAAAUCCAGCUGCUCAACAGAUGGGCCGCGGAGGAUACUACAGAGCUAGGAGGCAGGAGAGGCAAGCGGUACUCAGUGGGUAGGGGUAAAAUUCGUUGAUCCAUUGAAGACCACCAGUGGCGAAGGCGGCUUGCCAGAAUGCGCCCGACGGUGAGGGAUGAAAGCUGGGGGAGCAAACCGGG
rnacentral:rRNA from 1 species